AACGUAGGAGGCGAGCGUUGUUCGGAAUUACUGGGCGUAAAGCGCACGUAGGCGGCUACUCAAGUCAGAGGUGAAAGCCCAGGGCUCAACCCUGGAACUGCCUUUGAAACUAGGUAGCUAGAAUCUUGGAGAGGUCAGUGGAAUUCCGAGUGUAGAGGUGAAAUUCGUAGAUAUUCGGAAGAACACCAGUGGCGAAGGCGACUGACUGGACAAGUAUUGACGCUGAGGUGCGAAAGCGUGGGGAGCAAACAGG
rnacentral:rRNA from 1 species